UUCCGGUUGAUCCCGCCGGACCUGACUGCUAUCGGAUUGAUACUAAGCCAUGCGAGUCAUUGUAGUAAUACAAGGCAGACGGCUCAGUAACGCGUAGUCAACCUACCCUAUGGACGGGGAUAACCUCGGGAAACUGAGAAUAAUACCCGAUAGAACAUUAUACCUGGAAUGGUUUAUGUUUCAAAUAAUUUAUUGCCGUAGGAUGGGACUGCGGCCUAUCAGUUUGUUGGUGAGGUAAUGGCCCACCAAGACUAUUACAGGUACGGGCUCUGAGAGGAGUAGCCCGGAGAUGGGUACUGAGACACGGACCCAGGCCCUAUGGGGCGCAGCAGGCGAGAAAACUUUGCAAUGUGCGAAAGCACGACAAGGUUAAUCCGAGUGGUUUCUGCUAAAGGAACCUUUUGUCAGUCCUAGAAACACUGGUGAAUAAGGGGUGGGCAAGUUCUGGUGUCAGCCGCCGCGGUAAAACCAGCACCUCAAGUGGUCAGGAUGAUUAUUGGGCCUAAAGCAUCCGUAGCCUGCUUUGUUAGUUUUCGGUUAAAUCCAUACGCUUAACGUAUGGGCUGCCGGGAAUACUGCAAAGCUAGGGAGUGGGAGAGGUAGACGGUACUCGGUAGGAAGGGGUAAAAUCCUUUGAUCUAUUGAUGACCACCUGUGGCGAAGGCGGUCUACCAGAACACGUCCGACGGUGAGGGAUGAAAGCUGGGGGAGCAAACCGGAUUAGAUACCCGGGUAGUCCCAGCUGUAAACUAUGCAAACUCGGUGAUGCAUUGGCUUGAUGCCAAUGCAGUGCCGCAGGAAGCCGUUAAGUUUGCCGCCUGGGAAGUACGUACGCAGUAUGAAACUUAAGGAAUUGGCGGGGGAGCACACAGGGUGAGCCUGCGGUUCAAUUGGAUUCAACGCCGGGA
rnacentral:rRNA from 1 species